rnacentral:lncRNA from 1 species
UUUCACAGUUAGUCUUUAGACUACACGGCUUCACGCUCACAUAAACCCUAAGUUUCCUUCAUCUCCGGCCGCCGCUCAACCCUUCACCUUCACAGUUCACUUCAGUCGCCGCCGCUCAACCCUUCACAGUCACUUCAGUCGCCAGCGCCGCUCACCUUCAUCGCCGGCCGCCGCUAAUUCGCUGCUCAACUUCAUCGCUGAUUCGCUGCUCACCUUCAUCGCCGGCCGCCGCUCAACCCCUUCACAGUUAAGUCAUGAGUGAUUCACAAAAUAAAGUGGAGAAAAAGAAGGGCAAAACCCUGGUUUCAUUAAACAACAGGUUCCUUGAUUGCUAAUUUCAAAUAUGGAAUAAUAGGUCAUUUUCGUGUCUUAACAGGUCGUGUUCGGGUCUUAACACGUCGUGUUUGUGUCUUAAACAGGUCAUAUGAUAUGUUGGCAACAUUUUCGUGUCUUAACAGGUCAUUUCGUGUAACCUGUUUAUUA